rnacentral:rRNA from 1 species
GAAUUGUUCACAAUGGGCGCAAGCCUGAUGACGCAACGCCGCGUGGAGGAUGAAGGUCUUCGGAUUGUAAACUCCUGUUGCCCGGGACGAACGGCUCCAACCUAACACGUUGGAGAUUGACGGUACCGGGUGAGGACGCCCCGGCUCCCUCUGUGCCAGCAGCCGCGGUAAUACAGAGGGGGCAAGCGUUGUUCGGAAUUACUGGGCGUAAAGGGCGCGUAGGCGGCCUUCUAAGUCGAACGUGAAAUCCCCGGGCUCAACCCGGGAACUGCGUCCGAUACUGGAAGGCUUGAAUCCGGGAGAGGGAUGUGGAAUUCCAGGUGUAGCGGUGAAAUGCGUAGAUAUCUGGAGGAACACCGGUGGCGAAGGCGACAUCCUGGACCGGCAUUGACGCUGAGGCACGAAAGCCAGGGGAGCAAACGGG